UACGAAGGGGGCUAGCGUUGCUCGGAAUCACUGGGCGUAAAGCGCACGUAGGCGGACUCUUAAGUCGGUGGUGAAAUCCUGGAGCUCAACUCCAGAACUGCCUUCGAUACUGAGAGUCUCGAGUCCGGGAGAGGUGAGUGGAACUGCGAGUGUAGAGGUGAAAUUCGUAGAUAUUCGCAAGAACACCAGUGGCGAAGGCGGCUCACUGGCCCGGUACUGACGCUGAGGUGCGAAAGCGCGGGGAGCGAACGGG
rnacentral:rRNA from 1 species